GCCGGCUUAGCUCAAUGGCAGAGCAACUGACUUGUAAUCAGUAGGUUGUAGGUUCAAGUCCUAUAGCCGGCU
rnacentral:tRNA from 1 species